rnacentral:tRNA from 1 species
GGUGAGAUAGCUCAGCGGUUAAGAGCACUGGCUGCUCAGCUAGAGAACCUGGGUUGAACUCCCAGCACCC